rnacentral:rRNA from 1 species
CCUACGGGUGGCAGCAGUGAGGAAUAUUGGUCAAUGGACGAGAGUCUGAACCAGCCAAGUAGCGUGAAGGAUGACUGCCCUAUGGGUUGUAAACUUCUUUUAUAUGGGAAUAAAAUGUUCCACGUGUGGGAUUUUGUAUGUACCAUAUGAAUAAGGAUCGGCUAACUCCGUGCCAGCAGCCGCGGUAAUACGGAGGGGGCGAGCGUUAUCCGGAUUUAUUGGGUGUAAAGGGAGCGUAGGCGGAGCGCCAAGUCAGGUGUGAAAGUCUGCGGCUCAACUGCGGAACUGCUUUGGAAACUGGCGAGCUAGAGUGCGGGAGAGGUAAGCGGAAUUCGUGGUGUAGCGGUGAAAUGCGUAGAUAUUAGGAAGAACACCGAUGGCGAAGGCAGCUUACUGGACCGUAACUGACGUUGAGGCUCGAAAGCGUGGGGAGCAAACAGGAUUAGAUACCCCAGUAGUC